GAUGAACGCUGGCGGCAUGCUUUACACAUGCAAGUCGGACGGGAAGUGGUGUUUCAGGUGCGGACGGGGGGGUAACGCGUUAGAACCUUCCCUUGGGAGGGGAACAACAGCCGGAAACGGCUGCUAGUUCCCCGUAGGCUGAGGAGCGAAAGGAGGAAUCCGCCCAAGGAGGGGCUCGCGUCUGAUUAGCUAGUUGGUGAGGUAAUAGCCUACCAAGGCCGUGAUCAGUAGCUGGUCCGAGAGGAUGAUCAGCCACACUGGGACUGAGACAAGGCCCAGACUCCUACGGGAGGCAGCAGUGGGGAAUUUUCCGCAAUGGGCGAAAGCCUGACGGAGCAAUGCCGCGUGGAGGUAAAAGGCCUACGGGUCAUGAACUUCUUUUCCUGGAGAAGAAACAAUGACGGUAUCUGGGGAAUAAGCAUCGGCUAACUCUGUG
rnacentral:rRNA from 1 species